rnacentral:rRNA from 1 species
UUUACACAUGCAAGUCGAACGGCAGCGCGGACUUCGGUCUGGCGGCGAGUGGCGAACGGGUGAGUAAUGUAUCGGAACGUGCCCAGUAGCGGGGGAUAACUACGCGAAAGCGUAGCUAAUACCGCAUACGCCCUUUGGGGGAAAGCGGGGGACCUUCGGGCCUCGCACUAUUGGAGCGGCCGAUAUCGGAUUAGCUAGUUGGUGGGGUAAAGGCCUACCAAGGCGACGAUCCGUAGCUGGUUUGAGAGGACGACCAGCCACACUGGGACUGAGACACGGCCCAGACUCCUACGGGAGGCAGCAGUGGGGAAUUUUGGACAAUGGGGGCAACCCUGAUCCAGCCAUCCCGCGUGUGCGAUGAAGGCCUUCGGGUUGUAAAGCACUUUUGGCAGGAAAGAAACGGCCCUGGUUAAUACCUGGGGCAACUGACGGUACCUGCAGAAUAAGCACCGGCUAACUACGUGCCAGCAGCCGCGGUAAUA